CAAUAGCGUAUAUUAAAGUUGUUGCAGUUAAAAAGCUCGUAGUUGGAUUUGUGGCUGUCACGGGCGGCCUAUCACUUAGUGUUAGUGCUUGCCUGUGUCGCCAUCCUUGGGUGGAGCCCGUGUGGUAUUAGGUUGUCGUGCGGGGGAUGCCCAUCGUUUACUGUGAGAAAAUUAGAGUGUUCAAAGCAGGCUUAUGCCAUUGAAUAUGUUAGCAUGGAAUAAUAAGAUAGGACCUCGGUACUAUUUUGUUGGUUUGCGCACCGAGGUAAUGAUUAAUAGGGACAGUUGGGGGUAUUCGUAUUUCAUUGUCAGAGGUGAAAUUCUUGGAUUUCUGAAAGACGAACUACUGCGAAAGCAUUUACCAAGGAUGUUUUCAUUAA
rnacentral:rRNA from 1 species